UACGGGGGGGGCAAGCGUUGUUCGGAAUUACUGGGCGUAAAGGGCUCGUAGGCGGCCCACUAAGUCGGAUGUGAAAUCCCCAGGCUUAACCUGGGAACUGCAUCCGAUACUGGAUGGCUUGAAUUCGGGAGAGGGAUGCAGAAUUCCAGGUGUAGCGGUGAAAUGCGUAGAUAUCUGGAGGAAUACCGGUGGCGAAGGCGGCAUCCUGGACCGAGAUUGACGCUGAUGAGCGGAAGCUAGGGGAGCAAACGGG
rnacentral:rRNA from 1 species